UCCUGCAUCUGCAGCUUCACUGCUGAAAGAAGAAAAAAGUCCAUCCUGCAGUAGUUCAGACAGAGAUUGUCAGAGCGGCUGAAAGGUAAAGAAAGCUUUUAUGUUGACGUCACCACUGUGGAUGGAGCAUUAACAGGAUACAGAGACCAAGACAGAGAACCCUGAUCUCAGCCAGGUCUCUGCUACAGCCACUGAGAUCUCUAUGGCAACCACGGAGACCCAUGUGCCGACAGCUUGUACCGGUGAAAUCCCCAUGGCAAUGGAAGAGGCCUGUGAAAUCCUCAGGGAAACCGAUAACACUGUUGCAGAGAUUUCUGGGGCAACUAGUGAGAUUCCUGUGACAGACAUGAUGUCCAAUGAAUUCUCCAUGGUAACUGAUGAUACCAUUGUUAAGAUCUUCACAGUUUACAGUGAAGCUGAAGAAACUAAAGAGGUCAGCCAGAUGAAGGUCUCUUCAGUGUCCCUGGACAGUACUGCUGUGGUUAAGAAGCAGCGUGGUGGGUCUCCUGUGUGUGCGGGACAGAUGAAGAGAGAAAAGGCCCAAACUGAAGGGGCCAAAUCACCCACAUUCACUCUGUCCCUCAUCAGAGAGGAGCAGCUAAUGAACAAAGGGUGUUUCACUGACUUGUGGUGGAUGAGGGAGAGCGCUGACUGGGGGAUGAAGGCCUCUCUACUCAUGGAGUUCAUUGAAGCAGCUGCUGCCACCAACCCUGAUUUCACUGCAGAC